AGAAGACUACAGUAGGACUGAGGCAAAUGAGCAGAGACAAUUUUCCUUCUGUGGUCAGCAGCAAGACCAAGUUUCAGAGAGGGCAGCUUUUCUUAAUAGCGACCAAGUGGGGAAGUUCUAUGGUGACAGACAGAACUUUGGGAGGACAGAUGUUUGCUAUGGAGGAUUCUUCUCCAGAACAACUGUGCAGUUCCAUAUUUCUCUGAAGAGGUAGCAGGUUGAGAUGAGUAAGGACACUCCAAGGCAAUCAGAACAAUUAGCUUUGAUCCCCUGCAUCUGGUGGAGUGAGAACUAGAUUGUCAGCUGUUCAGGAGUCAUACUUGUUUUCCCACAAUCAGCCCUCUACUCCUGGGCUCCCGGUUGUCUGGUUUCCAGUCAUUAAUCAAGAAAAUCAGGUAUGGUAGCUGUGCUGAUGAAGUCAACAGGAAGGCUGUCAGCCAAAUGUCAGAGACCUUCUCUUCCCUGAGAAACCUCCAAUACUUUUAGAGAAAGGGUAGAUGAACACCAGCAACCAUGACUUUUGCCUACUGGCCCUUCCUGAGGCUGAGAGCCUAGGUCAGUUGGGAUCAUGACAACCUCACCAACUUGUACCCUGAUGUAUACAGCCCACUUUAAUCCCUAAUCUGGCUUUCCCAGGGAGAUGAGAAGCAACUCUAUAAGGGAAACGUAGGCAAUAUCUCUCCACCAUUUCCCUUGAGUACACCACCCAUGCAUAGUCCUACCUUUUAAUAAUGU